UGCGUAGGCGGAAAAUUAAGUCAGUGGUGAAAUCCUGCGGCUCAACCGUAGAACUGCCAUUGAUACUGAUAUUCUUGAAUGUAGUUGAGGUAGGCGGAAUGUGUAAUGUAGCGGUGAAAUGCUUAGAUAUUACACAGAACACCGAUUGCGAAGGCAGCUUACUAAACUAUGAUUGACGCUGAUGCACGAAAGCGUGGGGAGCAAACAGGAUUAGAUACCCUGGUAGUCC
rnacentral:rRNA from 1 species